rnacentral:rRNA from 1 species
UACGUAGGGUGCGAGCGUUAAUCGGAAUUACUGGGCGUAAAGCGCGCGCAGGCGGCCUCGCGCGCCCGACGUGAAAGCCCCCGGCUUAACCGGGGAGGGUCGUUGGGGACGGCGGGGCUUGAGGGCGGGAGAGGUCGGUGGAAUUCCCGGUGUAGUGGUGAAAUGCGUAGAGAUCGGGAGGAACACCUGUGGCGAAGGCGGCCGACUGGGCCGACCCUGACGCUGAGGCGCGAAGGCGUGGGGAGCGAACGGG